UAUACAGAUUUUGCACACAAUUGAGGAAUCAUAACUUUUAUACUUUUAUACUGAAACAAAUGCUAAUAAUACAUAGUUAUCCUACUGAUGUUUAUGGUUGUAAAUUUAUGUGAAGAUAACUUGAAAAUCAAUUGCAAUAUAAGGCUAUUUAUUGUCUGUGGAUUUACAUCUUUAUUCUCAAACCACCUGGUGAAGGGGGUGCCACUAAUGCUGUUCUGAAAAGAAUAAUAAAUAUAAAAAUCUAAAAAAAAAUAAUAGAAAAGAAUCGAAGAGAAUUACUUUCCGGGAAAAAAAUUCCCAUUCCACCUUACACAUUUUAGAGCAAUUAGCAAUAAUAUACGAUUGCAUUGACGAUAAGGUAACCUGUUCUACUUUUAUUGCAUGAAUAAAUAGUCACCUACUAUAAACCUCCCUAUCCCCUCCCCCUUUUUUUUGCUUCCAAGGCCUGCACAAUGUGACUAAUACAUUUUUAUUUAGAAUUGUAAAUCCAAACACUAACAGGAAAAGUUCCUGAGUUUUCGGCUCCAUGUUUUCUAAGCACAAAGGUAAUCUCAGGCACAUGGAGAGGAAACUAGAAAUUCUGCCCUGCACUUCCUUUUAUCUUCUCAGGAUCCUUCCUCAAUGCAAAGCAGCCCUCAGGCCCAGAUUGAAAGCCCAGGCCUAGCUGAGGAGCCCCAUCUCCUUCUCACUAGAGCCUCCAUCACAGCAUGGCUGUCCUGGUGCUGUUGCUCUGCCUGAUGACAUUUCCAAGCUGUGUCCUGUCCCAGGUGCAGCUGAAGGAGUCAGGACCUGGCCUGGUGCAGCCCUCACAGACCCUGUCUCUCACCUGCACUGUCUCUGGGUUCUCAUUAACCAGCUAUCAUGUGCACUGGGUUCGACAGCCUCCAGGAAAAGGUCUGGAGUGGAUGGGAGUAAUGUGGAGUGAUGGAGACACAUCAUAUAAUUCAGCUCUCAAAUCCCGACUGAGCAUCAGCAGGGACACCUCCAAGAGCCAAGUUUUCUUAAAAAUGAGCAGUCUGCAAACUGAAGACACAGCCACUUACUACUGUGCCAGAGACACAAUGAGGGAAGUCCAGUGUGAACUUGCACAAAAACUUCCCUACAGGGAUUCUUAGGACCAGCAGGGGGCACUGAGGAUCAACAAGUUCUUUCCAGGAUCACUUCAGAUUUUAGAAAGCUCUGGCUUAUGAUGUUUAAGCAUGGGUUUUAAUAUUAAAGAUAGGGACUCUUCUUCCAGCCAUGGAAAUUCUCUAGCACAUACUCUUCAGUGUCAUAUUCUAUUAAACUUCUUGUUUCUUCACACAAUAGAAGAAUUAUUAAGUGGUUCUAUAAUCUUACAGUGUAAAAUAAGAACAAAUUAUUGAGUUGAUAUUUAUGAAGAUGACUCAGUGAAAC